CCUUGCACAAGGGCUGACUGUAGCUGGGAGAAGGCAUUUUACUCAUUUGCUCUCUCCUUCAUACCGUCAGCUGGUCCCUCUCCCCAGGUGUAGACCACCUAUUAUAAUUUCAUCUAUUUUGAUACUCUGCUGAGGAAAGUCCCAGGAUGCAUCAGCUGGGACAGGCCCACUUACAAGACAGCCCUGUUCAGUAUUUGGAAGAAAGCCUGACAGGUUGCUCCGGAAAAGUGGCCAUCCAUGGAAUGAAUGAAAUGUUCUCUUUCUAUUCCAGGGAUUGCAGUGGCAAAGCUAGGCUAGGUCUUGGAGGCUGGUCUAAGGCGAUGCGGGAAGGCAGGAGGCUGAUGGAGAGACUGGGGGGAAGAAAAGCCGAAAUGGAUUCACGGUGCCUUGGAUGGAGGAUGAGAGGGGAACUGCAAGCUCCUUCAACUCGUUCUGUCCGGUGAGAAGUGAUCAAGCUUGGGCUGACAAGAGGCUCAGGGAGCCCUCACGUUCUUUGCUUUUUUACCUGCCAAUCAAACUGCUACAAGACAACACCCUGAUCUGGCAUGGACAUAUCCAACUUAGAAAUAAUGUUCCACUCAAGAUAAGGCUCAUGGCUUAGGAGAUUCUGGCCCAACUUAUCUCAUUCUCAGAGCUCUGUCAUCUGUUUUCAAAACCCAAGAAGGACCUUGUCACCCUUUGGUAGUUCCUCCUGUUUUGCCAGCCCUUGGGCUUAAAGGAAGCUUGUCAAGAGCUCAGGACCUGGAAAGGACAGUUGGAUCAUCACAAACAAUGAGUCAGCACCACAGUUUCAGGGACUCACAGACCUGGACACCCACUUUAAAAUGCGAAGAAUGCAUUGUCUAAUUGGAAGACCUAUGCUUUAGCAAAGUAUAAUUGAAUUGUAUGGAUUCCACCCUUCAAGCUUUAUUUUCCCUAGGAAAGCAGAGUUUUCUUUGAGAGUCCUUGCCAGGCAACAGUGUGCACAUGUGAUCAUCAAGCAAGACAAAACUGCCACCAGGAAAGACUGGAUGUGUUUCCCUUUCUCUCCAGCAUUCCUUCUUCCAGUGGAAUUUACUCCAAGUUCCCCCCUUUCUCCAGCUCCAUUGAAAAUGACUCCAAAAAACACUGCAAUGGCUAAACCAAUUGUACUCCGAAGCUGCGGAGAUGCCAUUUCAUCUGGAUCCUUUGUGAAAAUUAGAUUUUAAGUAGGGGUGAAUAUCCUUUUGGGAGAGGGAACAGGGAGGGUGGCAGGAGAGGGGGAGGGGACUGAGCAGUUGACAUACAUAUACACUCUUUGUGUUGGAAGGCCUCUGUGUCCUGGCUUCUCACUACGUUAAAUCCCUAUUAUAAAAUUUAUCUUCACAAAGCCUAUUAUAGUAUUCUGAGAACAAAUUGGACCAUGAAUAACUUAGUUGGAAGUGUAGAUUAUUUUCUACUCAAAGAAAGUUAGAGAUGACAACAGCUUAACUGAAAGAAUAGUGAUUAAUCUUAAAUAGAUGGAUUUCAAAGUUUCACUCUUAAUAAAGAGUACCUUUGAUAUUUCCCCUCUUCAGACUCACGUCUCCCAUUUCUUUGUAUUAAGGAUUGUCCUAGCGAUUACACUGUCCCCCUAAGGCAGCAUGGCUCUAACUGUAGAUUAUUUUCUUCCAGGUUGUUAGUCUGUCAGAAGUGACCAUUCUACUUCCUUUCAGUUAAAACUAUAGUUCCAAAGUGAUACCUUUCCUUGGAAACGUAUGAAACAAUAGGAAUGAUAUCUUGCAUAAAUCAUAAUUUCAAAUUUGAUAAAUUAUUUUUUAAAAUUUAAUUUAAUGCCCUAUAGCUUACAAAAUACUUUUAAUUUGUAGAUUUUGUUUGAUCCUUCAAAUGAUCUUAUGAAAUAACUAAUAUCAAUGUCUUCUGUUGCACACUGUGAUUGACCUCAUCAGUGCAACGGCUGGGGUAUCGGCCUAGACUUCACAGUUUAUGUUUCAAGUGAUUAACCCAUAGAAAUAGAUUUUUAAUUAUUUUUGUGUUUUAUAUCUCUGAACAUCAAUAUUUUAUAUUAAAGAGCAAAGUUUUACCAGGUGGGGUAAUACACAUCUAUAAUCCCAACUAUUCAUGAAGCUGAGGCUGGAGGACCCCAAGUUUGAGGUCAGUCUGGACGAGUUAGUGAGAUCUUGUCUAAAAAUAAAAAUAAAGGGCUGAGGAUAUAGCUCAGAGGUAGAGCACUCUUGGGUCCAAUCUUUAGUACAGGGAAAAAAAAAAAGCAGAAAAAUUUUAUGUCAUAGACUAAAACAGGUGAACAACAGGGACAAGAAGUAGAACUUGUGCUUAGUAUGCAUGAAGCCCAGGGUCAUUCCCCAGCACUAAAUUAAUAAAUAAAUAAAUAAAUAAAUAAAUAAAUAAAUAACAUCUUUUAAAAAUUCUAUUCACUUAAAUUUUACGUGUGUGUGUGUGUGUGUGUGUGUGUGUGUGUGUUUAAAGGUCUUCAGAGCUGAAGGUCAAGUUUCCAAAGGUCAAACAUGGACAGUCCUAUACACAUUAAAUAACAAUCUGGAAUUUGUAAAAAAUUUAAAUUUUUUAUGGUGCCAGGGAUCAAACCCAGGGCCUUGAACACUCUAGGCAAAUACUGUACCACUGAGUUGCACCCCUAGCACUGGAUUUUAAAAUAUGUACAUGAAAACUAUAUAAUAAACAGUUUUACUGAAGUAUAAUAAAAUUGACCCAUUUAAGAUACUAAAAAAAAAAAAACUAUAUAAUAAAUACAAUAAAGAAUUACAAUAAAAUACAACAAAGAAUUAACCU